GACUACUGGCUUAAAUGGGGAGUGACAGCUGUCGAAAGAUGGUUUUCUUUCGGUACACUCUUCAAGGUGCUGCAUGGUUGUCGUCAGCUCGUGCCGUGAGGUGUCGGUUAAGUCCCAUAACGAGCGCAACCCUUACCGUUAGUUUACCAUCAGGUUAAGCUGGGGACGUCUAGCGGGACUGCCACCGUAAGGUGAGAGGAAGUGGGGAUGACGUCAAAUCAGCACGGCCCUUAUGUCCAGGGCUACACACGUGUUACAAUGGCCAGUACAAAGGGCAGCUACCGGGUGGCCGGAUGCUAAUCUCUAAAGCUGGUCUCAGUUCGGAUCGAAGUCUGCAACCCGACUUCGUGAAGCUGGAUUCGCUAGUAAUCGCGCAUCAGCCAUGGCGCGGUGAAUACGUUCCCGGGCCUU
rnacentral:rRNA from 1 species